AUCACUUCAUUCAUUUUCAUUGGGAAUUUCCAUCAUACAUGGUUCAGAUCGAUUACAUUGCAAUCCCUGCUAGCUCACUAAAUGCAUUAUAUUGCAUUCCUCUUCUAAAACUAAGAUAAUAUCAUGCCUGCAACAAACCCAGCCAAGAAGAGAAUCAAAGCAUAAAUCAUAGAUUUGUACAUCUGACUCUCAACUUUCUUCUCACACCUAGCAACAAUUUCAGAAAUUACUACAGUCUUCUUUUCCAAUUCCUUUCUUAACACAGCAACAUCAUUCUCAGUUGGCAGUUGGGUAGCUUCCUCUUCCAGCAUCC
rnacentral:lncRNA from 1 species